rnacentral:tRNA from 1 species
GCGGGAGUAGUUCAGCUGGUAGAACAUCGGCUUCCCAAGCCGAGGGUCGCGGGUUCGAAUCCCGUCUCUCGCUCCA